CAACAGGGAUGCCUCAGUAGCGGCGAGUGAAGCGGCAAAAGCUCAAAUUUGAAAUCUGGUAGUUCUGCUACCCGAGUUGUAAUUUGUAGAAAACUGUCUUUGUUAGGGUGCCUGUCUAAGUUCCUUGGAACAGGACGUCGCAGAGGGUGAGAAUCCCGUGUGAUGGGUGGCCCGGACUUUUAAGGCGUUUUCGAAGAGUCGAGUUGUUUGGGAAUGCAGCUCUAAGUGGGUGGUAAAUUCCAUCUAAAGCUAAAUAUUGGCGAGAGACCGAUAGCGAACAAGUACAGUGAUGGAAAGAUGAAAAGAACUUUGAAAAGAGAGUGAAACAGUACGUGAAAUUGUUGAAAGGGAAGGGGUAUUUGAUCCGACAUGGGAUUUACUCAUCAUUGCUCCUUGUGGGUGGGUG
rnacentral:rRNA from 1 species